rnacentral:rRNA from 1 species
GACGAACGCUGGCGGCGUGCUUAACACAUGCAAGUCGAACGGAAAGGCCCUGCUUUUGUGGGGUGCUCGAGUGGCGAACGGGUGAGUAACACGUGAGUAACCUGCCCUUGACUUUGGGAUAACUUCAGGAAACUGGGGCUAUUACCGGAUAGGAGCUCCUGCUGCAUGGUGGGGGUUGGAAAGUUUCGGCGGUUGGGGAUGGACUCGCGGCUUAUCAGCUUGUUGGUGGGGUAGUGGCUUACCAAGGCUUUGACGGGUAGCCGGCGUGAGAGGGUGACCGGCCACAUUGGGACUGAGAUACGGCCCAGACUCCUACGGGAGGCAGCAGUGGGGAAUAGUGCACAAUGGGCGGAAGCCUGAUGCAGCAACGCCGCGUGCGGGAUGACGGCCUUCGGGUUGUAAACCGCUUUCGCCUGUGACGAAGCGUGAGUGACGGUAAUGGGUAAAGAAGCACCGGCUAACUACGUG